UGAGGAAUAUUGCGCAAUGGCAGAAAUGCUGACGCAGCAACGCCGCGUGAGGGAUGAAGCUUUUCGGAGUGUAAACCUUUGUUAGGAGGGACGAACGGGCAUAAUACGAAUAGAGUUAUGCCGUGACGGUACCUCCAGAGGAAGCCCCGGCUAACUCCGUGCCAGCAGCCGCGGUAAUACGGGGGGGGCAAGCGUUGUCCGGAAUCAUUGGGCGUAAAGGGCGCGUAGGCUGACAGGUCAGUCUGUGGUGCAAUCUUGUGGCUUAACCGUAAGUUUGCCAUGGAAACUACCUGUCUUGAGAUCGGAAGGGGGAAGCGGAAUUCCUGGUGUAGCGGUGAAAUGCGUAGAUAUCAGGAAGAACACCGGUGGCGAAGGCGGCUUCCUGGUCCGAGACUGACGCUGAUGCGCGAAAGCGUGGGGAGCGAACA
rnacentral:rRNA from 1 species